UUUGAACUUAUUUUUAUUUUCUUUUUCUUGAAAACACAAAAAUAGUCUCAUGUUCUAAUAUAGUUUAGUUUAUUUAAUUAGGCUUAACUUUUGUAUCGUUUAGUAUCUUUAUCUUAUUAUAAAAGGAGUCAAUUAAGGUGUUGAACUACAAUUUUAGGAGUUUUACAGCCCAAUUAUUGGGCCAAUUGUUAGCCCGUUAAAUCCAAUACCUAACCGCCAUCAACCUAAAUCUAAGAAUCCUUCUAGACUCUUUUAUAAAAAAAAAUAAAUAAAAACACCCUAGGAGGAAUGAGGUGAAAAUAAAUACAAAAAAAUACAACCUAAAACUUAGAGGACUAGAGACUAAAUCCACCGCAAGAAGGCAUCCGCCAUUUGGACCCUUCCUCAGCUUCUUCAUUCUGAAUAUACAUACAUUGAUACAAUCAGGAAAAGAAACAGGUCCUAAUCUUCUUCUUUAUCAACUACAACAAGAAACCUCGGACUUCAUCUCUUUCUUCACAAGACCCAAAAACCCCGGGAACAACAAUCCCUUCACCCAGAACCGCCGCCACCCCCACCUGACAGGACGCCGGCGACCACUCACUUCAACGUCGACGACCAACUUCACACCCCUCGCCAGCCACUCUCAGCCCCCGAACUCCAUCUUCUCGGUAUCCUUAGUCUUCAUCUUCUUAACCUAGGAGAUACACCAACAGACCCUCUGUUCCUCAACCUUCGAGCUCAUUAGAAAAGGGGCGACAACCAUUAAACACGAACAAGAGGGAAGUCAGCCCUGGCGCACCCUACCAGAACAUCUUGAAAACCAGUAGCCCAACCCCAUAACGCCGGCGACCACAUACGUACAACGGCAACACAACACCUCACAGCAAAGCUCCAAAACCAGUUGCUAUUUUCUCCAUAGAUCUAGACCUUAGAACUCUAGCGUUACAACUCAUUCUUCAAGUAAUAACGCAACAACAAAGCUAGCAAAUUCACUAGUUGUUGCUCCCUAUUUCACUCCCAAUACAGUUCCAAAGAGCCAUUGAUUUCAUGUUCAAAAUACGCCGGAGUUGAUCCAAGGAAUAUGCGGAGUUACGAGGUUUGUUUUCUGAAUCGAAAAUUUGGAUCCGUCAAUAGAAGGUCCAAUUCUUUUUUUUGUUACUCUAUCUUCUCAAUAUGAUGCGUGUGUUCAUGACUUAGUUCUAACUUGUGUGAUGUACUUAUCUUUUGAAAUGAUCUGAAGUUGUCUCACUAGCACAACUUAGUGAAUAUUCACAAGUAAAAAUUUCCAUUUUAAUUAAUCGCAAUGAUGGAUCAUAAUUUGUGAGAAAUAAAUCAAAUAACGAGCUAUUAUUUUAGUUGAAUAAAAAAUGCAAUAGGAUUAGGAAUCGAAGAAAUACAUAACUGGGUUUAUUGAUAAGUGCUUUACCGUUCCUAUUUUGUUAUUACUUGUUACUUAUUUAACACUAGGAGCAUGCUAGGCCGUCAACAUUUGGAUAAGCAAGACUUAGGAUUUUGUUAGAUUUGAGGCCGAGGUUGUUCCCUUAGUUAAAUUUAUUUGAGGAAUGCCCUAAGGGAUUCGUAUAUGUUAUUUCAGGGGUAUGCCCCGAAGUGGUGUAAAUGGAGGACAAAAGCAGAAACUUGUAAUAUAUUCCUUUUAUUUUCAUUUUUCUCUUUCUCUUAUUUAGGUUGGGACGACCUCGACAAUCUAGUGUGUUUAUUUUUCCUUUUCUGUAUUUUCUA
rnacentral:lncRNA from 1 species